rnacentral:lncRNA from 1 species
CCAACGCCUCAAGCGAUCCUUGGUUGGCAGUCUUCUCCGCAAAGCCAACCAUGAUAUAAACGCAUUACGUGGAAUAUGUUCCUUGAACCAAAUAGUCUUGUGCCAAUAUUUAUUGUUGAUUGUGUUUAUAUUCUUAUCUGACAUUAGUAUCCAUAUUUUUUGGUAAACUGAUCCAAAGAGAUUAGUUUGUGGCGCUAACCAAACGAAGAUUAUAGUGUUUACUUUUGAUAAAGUAAUAUGUUGAAUGAUAGAUGGCAUGCGUGCCUUUUCACAUGGAAAUCUGCACAUAUAUUAAAAUUGUAAGUUUUGAAUCAUAGAGAAA